rnacentral:miRNA from 1 species
CUGCGUGUGUGUGUGUGUGUGUGUGUGUGUGUGUGUGUGUGUGUACACACAGGAUCCUGUCCUCAUGCACACACAAAGGCGCACACACAC